UUAAAUUGAAGAGUUUGAUCAUGGCUCAGAUUGAACGCUGGCGGCAGGCCUAACACAUGCAAGUCGAGCGGAAACGAGUUAUCAGAACCUUCGGGGGACGAUAGCG
rnacentral:rRNA from 1 species